AGUAUACUUGUACAACUGCAGCCAACUUCACACGUUUCCAUAAUUCCCCACAUUUACGUCACAAAGGGUUCUUUUUCAUUUGUCUUUCAAAGCGUUUGGUUGUUUUGAAAUCCGCGUGGGGAAAUUAUCUUUUACAAACCGCGAAUAGGGGUUUUCAACAAACGUAAUUAUGAUGCUAUUUCGAGAAAUGUUAAUAACAAAGAAGGAAUGCUUGCACAUCAAUUGCUGCAUCCCGUGAACCAAUGGAAAUGUAUGCCACAUUCAUAUUUGAAAUGGCGUAGACUGUUGAUUAUUGCAGAAUAUGAAAUACCUUUUAAAAAUGGAAAUUCUUGUCCAAGGUCAACGUUAAGUCCGUCCUUUUGUUCUGAAUUUGGCCAAGUGAAUCACUAAUGGAAACGGUGCAUAAAAUGAUUGUAAAAGUCACGGGAAGAAGGAUCACAUGGUAAUUUGACGCUAUGUUCCCAUUUUGGGUCUUAACCACAUAAUUGAGGGAAACUACCGCUGUACCCAAAGCAAAAGAUAAUGCACUGUGGAUGAAUUACAAAGCGCGUUGAAUUUCCUAUUUUGCAUUCAAAAGAUAUCCAACUGGCAAAGAAGGGUGUCUUGAAAUAUUCUCUAAAAAAAUUGAAAAUGCUGAAAAAUGCAAAUCAAAAUCAAGUACUAAUGAAAAUAAAAACAAACUAAAAAUUUAACAA